ACGCUGGCGGCAGGCCUAACACAUGCAAGUCGAGCGGUAGAGAGAAGCUUGCUUCUCUUGAGAGCGGCGGACGGGUGAGUAAUGCCUAGGAAUCUGCCUGGUAGUGGGGGAUAACGUCCGGAAACGGACGCUAACACCGCAUACGUCCUACGGGGGAAAGCAGGGGACCUUCGGGCCUUGUGCUAUCAGAUGAGCCUAGGUCGGAUUAGCUAGUUGGUGGGGUAAUGGCUCACCAAGGCGACGAUCCGUAACUGGUCUGAGAGGAUGAUCAGUCACACUGGAACUGAGACACGGUCCAGACUCCUACGGGAGGCAGCAGUGGGGAAUAUUGGACAAUGGGCGAAAGCCUGAUCCAGCCAUGCCGCGUGUGUGAAGAAGGUCUUCGGAUUGUAAAGCACUUUAAGUUGGGAGGAAGGGCAGUAAAUUAAUACUUUGCUGUUUUGACGUUACCGACAGAAUAAGCACCGGCUAACUCUGUGCCAGCAGCCGCGGUAAUACAGAGGGUGCAAGCGUUAAUCGGAAUUACUGGGCGUAAAGCGCGCGUAGGUGGUUCGUUAAGUUGGAUGUGAAAUCCCCGGGCUCAACCUGGGAACUGCAUUCAAAACUGACGAGCUAGAGUAUGGUAGAGGGUGGUGGAAUUUCCUGUGUAGCGGUGAAAUGCGUAGAUAUAGGAAGGAACACCAGUGGCGAAGGCGACCACCUGGACUGAUACUGACACUGAGGUGCGAAAGCGUGGGGAGCAAAC
rnacentral:rRNA from 1 species